AAACAUGUCUUUUUGAAAAUAAUUUAAAGUCUAAUCUGCCCACUGAUNAAAUUAUUAAAGGGCUGCAGUAUUUUGACUGUACAAAGGUAGCAUAAUCAUUAGUCUCUUAAUUGGUGACUUGUAUGAAAGAUUGGAUGAGAUAUAUACUGUCUCUAUUUAAUUUAUAAAAUUUAAUUUUUUAGUAAAAAAGCUAAAAUUAUUUUAAAAGACGAGAAGACCCUAUAGAGUUUUAUAAUUUAUUUAAUUAUUAUUAAUAUAUAAAUUUUAAAAUUAAAAUUAAAUGAAUUAUUUUGUUGGGGUGAUAGAAAAAUUAAAUUAACUUUUUUUUUAUUGUAUACAUUAAUUUAUGGAUAAAUGAUCCAUUAAUAGUGAUUAAAAGAAAAAAUUUCCUUAGGGAUAACAGCGUAAUUUUUUUUUUUAGUUCAAAUAGGAAAAAAAGUUUGCGACCUCGAUGUUGGAUUAAGAUAAAAUUUAAAUGCAAAAG
rnacentral:rRNA from 1 species